GACGAACGCUGGCGGCGUGCUUAACACAUUCCAGUCGAACGGAAAGGCCCUGCUUUUGUGGGGUGCUCGAGUGGCGAACGGGUGAGUAACACGUGAGUAACCUGCCCUUGACUUUGGGAUAACUUCAGGAAACUGGGGCUAAUACCGGAUAGGAGCUCCUGCUGCAUGGUGGGGGUUGGAAAGUUUCGGCGGUUGGGGAUGGACUCGCGGCUUAUCAGCUUGUUGGUGGGGUAGUGGCUUACCAAGGCUUUGACGGGUAGCCGGCCUGAGAGGGUGACCGGCCACAUUGGGACUGAGAUACGGCCCAGACUCCUACGGGAGGCAGAAGUGGGGAAUAUUGCACAAUGGGCGGAAGCCUGAUGCAGCAACGCCGCGUGCGGGAUGACGGCCUUCGGGUUGUAAACCGCUUUCGCCUGUGACGAAGCGUGAGUGACGGUAAUGGGUAAAGAAGCACCGGCUAACUACGUG
rnacentral:rRNA from 1 species